rnacentral:lncRNA from 1 species
AGGAUAAAUUAUACGGUAACUAUAGGUCAGGAUUCUUAGAAUGUUGCUUUGCAUACAUUCGACCUAUCUGGAUGUCGGAAACCAUUGCUAGAUGGUUACUUUGACUGGUAUAGAAAUUGAUUUCUGUACUACGGACUUAGGUUCGAAUCUAUAGAAUCACACACAUAAGAGGUUGUAACCUAAUCAGAUGGUUAAUCGAUGAUUGAGAAUCGUUCUUAGGUUAAACGAUCAAUGCGAUUGAUGUUUGACCUAAUG